CACGUGAGCAACCUACCUUCGAGUUGGGGAUAGCCCUGGGAAACCAGGAUUAAUACCCGAUGUGGUCACAACAGGACAUCCUGAUGUGAGUAAAGGCGUAAGCCACUCGAUGACGGGCUCGCGGCCUAUUAGCUUGUUGGUGGGGGUAACGGCCUACCAAGGCGAUGAUGGGUAGCUGGUCUGAGAGGACGAUCAGCCACACUGGGACUGAGACACGGCCCAG
rnacentral:rRNA from 1 species